rnacentral:rRNA from 1 species
UACAGAGGGUGCGAGCGUUGUUCGGAAUUAUUGGGCGUAAAGGGCGCGUAGGCGGUGCGGUAAGUCACCUGUGAAAUCUCCUGGCUUAACUGGGAGCCUGCAGGCGAAACUACCGUGCUGGAGUGUGGGAGAGGUGCGUGGAAUUCCCGGUGUAGCGGUGAAAUGCGUAGAUAUCGUGAGGAAGACCAGUGGCGAAGGCGGGUCUCUGGACAGUUCCUGACACUGAGGCACGAAGGCCAGGGGAGCAAACGGG